CAGUAGCCGCGGUAAUACGUAGGGUGCGAGCGUUAAUCGGAAUUACUGGGCGUAAAGCGUGCGCAGGCGGUUGUGUAAGACAGGUGUGAAAUCCCCGGGCUUAACCUGGGUACUGCGCUUGUGACUGCACAGCUAGAGUAUGGCAGAGGGGGGUAGAAUUCCACGUGUAGCAGUGAAAUGCGUAGAGAUGUGGAGGAACACCGAUGGCGAAGGCAGCCCCCUGGGCCAAUACUGACGCUCAUGCACGAAAGCGUGGGGAGCAAACAGGAUUAGAUACCCGCGUAGUCCCUGUCUCUUAUAC
rnacentral:rRNA from 1 species